rnacentral:rRNA from 1 species
AUUGAACGCUGGCGGCAGGCUUAACACAUGCAAGCCGAGCGAGCGCCGGACGGUUGAGUAAUGUCUGGGAAACUGCCUGAUGGAGGGGGUUACCUACUGGAAACGUUAGCUAAUACCCCCUACCAUCAGUUUUGCCCAGAUGGGAUUAGCUAGUAGGUGGGGCAAUGGCUCACAAAGGCGACGAUCCCUAGCUGGUCUGAGAGGAUGACCAGCCACACUGGAACUGAGACACGGUCCAGACUCCUACGGGAGGCAGCAGUGGGGAAUAUUGCACAAUGGGCGCAAGCCUGAUGCAGCCAUGCCGCGUGUGUGAAGAAGGCCUUCGGGUUGUAAAGCACUGUCAGCGAGGAGGCGUUACUCGCAGAAGAAGCACCGGCUAACUCCGUGCCAGCAGCCGCGGUAAUAC